UACGUAGGGUCCGAGCGUUGUCCGGAAUUACUGGGCGUAAAGAGCUCGUAGGUGGUUUGUCGCGUUGUUCGUGAAAACUCACAGCUCAACUGUGGGCGUGCGGGCGAUACGGGCAGACUAGAGUACUGCAGGGGAGACUGGAAUUCCUGGUGUAGCGGUGGAAUGCGCAGAUAUCAGGAGGAACACCAACGGCGAAGGCAGCUCUCUGGGACGUUACUGACGCUGAGACGCGAAAGCGUGGGGAGCAAACAGG
rnacentral:rRNA from 1 species